UAUUUUGGCAGAUUAGUGUAUUUGAUUUAGAAUCAUUUUAAGUAAGAAAAUUUUAUUACAAGUAAUAU
rnacentral:tRNA from 1 species